rnacentral:lncRNA from 1 species
GCCCUAUGUAGCAAUGAGAGAUGGGAGUUGAGUGGAUGUGAUCCUCCUCCAUGUGUUGUAUUCUUUCUCUAUCUCUAAUAAUAUUUAUCUCUCCCGUGGAUGUAGGCAAUUUUCCGAACCACGUUAAAUAUUGUGUGCUAGUGUGCUUAGCCUCUUUUGAGCAAUGAUCAUGAAUACCACCGUUCCGCAGGGGAAGCAGAAUC